CCUACGGGCGGCUGCAGUCGAGAAUCAUUCACAAUGGGGGAAACCCUGAUGGUGCGACGCCGCGUGGGGGAAUGAAGGUCUUCGGAUUGUAAACCCCUGUCAUGUGGGAGCAAAUUAAAAAGAUAGUACCACGAGGGGAAGAGACGGCUAACUCUGUGCCAGCAGCCGCGGUAAUACAGAGGUCUCAAGCGUUGUUCGGAAUCACUGGGCGUAAAGCGUGCGUAGGCUGUUUCGUAAGUCGUGUGUGAAAGGCGCGGGCUCAACCCGCGGACGGCACAUGAUACUGCGAGACUAGAGUAAUGGAGGGGGAACCGGAAUUCUCGGUGUAGCAGUGAAAUGCGUAGAUAUCGAGAGGAACACUCGUGGCGAAGGCGGGUUACUGGACAUUAACUGACGCUGAGGCACGAAGGCCAGGGGAGCGAAAGGGAUUAGAUACCCUUGUAGUC
rnacentral:rRNA from 1 species